CCUACAUGGCCACUGCUCCAAAUUUGUUCCAGAUGGAUUUAGUCACAGAAUGAUUGAUUAUCCACUCAGUUGUGAGCUAUGUGGUUAAGCUCAGAAAUCUACAACAAACUGAUCUGGAGCUGUGUUUCACGAUCUGGACAUUCAUGGAUGGAGUUUACAUAAGGUGAGGCUCACCUGUGGAAGUGACAGUGGCAGGCCCCAGCAAAUGGGAAUCCCAGGCAGAAUUCAAACGCUGCCUCUGAGCAACAGUGACUCUCCAUGGCAAGUGGCAGGUGCAUUAGGUCAGGAAGCUGGCUUGUCCUGUGGUCCUCAAGUAUCAGGAAGAACUCAGUGCACCUUUGUUGG